GAAUAUUGCGCAAUGGGGGCAACCCUGACGCAGCAACGCCGCGUGAGUGAGGAAGGUUUUCGGACCGUAAAGCUCUGUCGAGCGGGAAGAAAUGCAUAGUGGCUAAUAUCCAUUAUGCUUGACGGUACCGCUAAAGGAAGCACCGGCUAACUCCGUGCCAGCAGCCGCGGUAAUACGGGGGGUGCUAGCGUUGUUCGGAAUCAUUGGGCGUAAAGAGCGUGUAGGCGGCUGGGUAAGUCAGAUGUGAAAGCCCUGGGCUUAACCCAGGGAGUGCGUUUGAAACUGUUCAGCUUGAGUGAGUGAGAGGAAAGUGGAAUUCCUGGUGUAGGGGUGAAAUUCGUAGAUAUCAGGAGGAACACCGGUGGCGAAGGCGACUUUCUGGCCCUAUACUGACGCUGAGACGCGAGAG
rnacentral:rRNA from 1 species